rnacentral:rRNA from 1 species
UACAGAGGUCUCAAGCGUUGUUCGGAAUCACUGGGCGUAAAGGGUGCGUAGGCGGCCAACUAAGUCAGACGUGAAAUCCCUCAGCUUAACUGGGGAACUGCGUCUGAUACUGGAUGGCUUGGAUUCGGGAGAGGAAUGCGGAAUUCCAGGUGUAGCGGUGAAAUGCGUAGAUAUCUGGAGGAACACCGGUGGCGAAGGCGGCAUUCUGGACCGAUAUUGACGCUGAGGAGCGAAAGCCAGGGGAGCAAACGGG